CCUACGGGGUGCAGCAGUAGGGAAUCUUCCACAAUGGGCGAAAGCCUGAUGGAGCAACGCCGCGUGGGUGAAGAAGGUCUUCGGAUCGUAAAACCCUGUUGUUAGAGAAGAAAGUGCGUGAGAGUAACUGUUCACGCUUCGACGGUAUCUAACCAGAAAGCCACGGCUAACUACGUGCCAGCAGCCGCGGUAAUACGUAGGUGGCAAGCGUUAUCCGGAUUUAUUGGGCGUAAAGGGCACGCAGGCGGUCUUUUAAGUCUGAUGUGAAAGCCUUCGGCUUAACCGGGGUAGUGCAUUGGAAACUGAGAGACUUGAGUGCAGAAGAGGAGAGUGGAACUCCAUGUGUAGCGGUGAAAUGCGUAGAUAUAUGGAAGAACACCAGUGGCGAAAGCGACUCUCUGGACAGUAACUGACGCUGAGGUUCGAAAGCGUGGGUAGCAAACAGGAUUAGAUACCCCUGUAGUC
rnacentral:rRNA from 1 species